CUUCUGCGGGGUAGCUGCCCUACGCGGAGGAAAAAGGCGUCGGUGGCCCUGCCAAUCCUACGCCCUACGAGGCACUCGUGGGGCGAGGUCACGAGAGGUCAUGCGAUUGCGAGCCCUACGUGUCGGUCGUUUCGAAUCGAACCAGGUGGAAAUCACUACAUAUAGGGCCGACCUGUGCUACUGGCUCGGCCAAGGGCCGCAAAAAGAUGUACAGGAGAUUUUUAACACCAUCUUCGGCCUAUUCAGAAGGAGUGUACAUCUUGGCAGAGGAAUUUCUGCGUUAAUCUAGCCAGACACUUCUUCGCGAAUAUUCCCUCGUUACCAGACUGCGGAUUUUAUACAUUUAUGAUACGCAAACUAAUAUAAUAGAUGCACUGCAAACAUAACCGAAUGCGUGGUAGUUGAUACCGAAACGGAGAACCAUACGACCUUGAGAUGACCUUGGAUUCAAAGUUCAUUCACAGGAAUAACGUGCUCUCUUGGAAGAUGACGUUGAAACGUGCACAGACAUGAUUACCAACAAAUCACAGGUACUUGUAUAAGUUAGUCGAGUAUUACCUAAUCUCCUUCAAUAAGACAAUUCGCAAUUCCCUGGAUAAAUGAAAAGAUAAAUGAACCACCUGUUUAAGUAACCUUAAACUCGCCCUUCAUCGAGUCUACAGACAUCAUUUGACAUUUCCUAACGAAUAAAGUCUGCGAUUAAUAAAACACCCGCAAAAGAUCUUCGGACUCCCAAUCUCUGGUUAUCUCCGCGAGACACGCGUUCUGCGACCACGUGGUCCAUGAGCGCUCUAAGGUCCGACAGACCGCGAUCCACGGCGGAGAGGUCAACGCUUUCGCCCUGGAGAGGAUCCCCGACGAGUUUCCAAACAGCCCCAGAUUCCCGUCUCGUCUCGUCUCGUCUCGUCUCGUCUCGUCUCGUCUCGUCUCGUCUCGUUUCGCUGGGAAUUCCUCCGUGGAACAAGGUGCACCGGGACACACCCCGUGCGCGAGACGAAUCCCGGCGCGUGUCUGUCUGUGUGGGACGCGUGUGUAAGCCAAACGGGCAGGUAGGUACAUAGAGAGAGCACGGCGGCUGGCGACUCCGCGAGGUUCGUGGGGGUCGAUCGAUGCGGCGAGACGCCGGGCGUCGCACUUUCCGCUAACCAUUCCACUCCAUUCCAUUCCAGACCUACACACACCGCUAUCCCCGUCACCACUACCACCGCGACGCCGCGCCGCGCCGUCCCACCGACACGUAACGUCUCUCACGCCGCGGCAGCCCCUGCGGAAAACCCGGCAGGGCUACCCCCAGGACCGUUCCUAGCUUCCACACCGCCCAAACGUUCCCAAUUUCCCACCCGCACUUGCCUCGAAUAUUAUCGAACUUUGUUGCGGCUAUUUAUCUCUAUUUCAACGUUCGUUUGCUGUUUUUCUUUUCGAUCUUAGCGGUAGACAAGCUAGCUCUUCCGGCGUGCAAGAUGUAGAGUUAAGUGGUUUGGUUUUCCAUGGAAGGUACGAAUUUGAUCUUUGACUAUGGUUAAAUUUAUGGCAGUAAUAAUGUAUGGAUUUAGGGUUGAAUGAUAAGCGUCGAUAUUCGAUCAAGUGUAUUCUUAUAAAAAAAAAUGCUUGAUUAUUGCAGAAUAACUGUUGCAACUAUCGAGGUAACCGAUUUAGUAGCCUCUAUAUAUGUACAAGAUAUUCUGUACAAUACUAAUUUCAACCUCGUUCGUCGGUAAACGACAUUGACGUAUACUAGACAUUUAUUAUGUACAAAAUAAUGAUACACUGCACCCCUAUCGGCCAUCGAGAGGGUUCGCGCCUGACUACCCCCACCUUUCAUCGUUCUGCUCCGACCACGAUUCUCGGCGACUCCGCAUAGUACGUCGACCCACAAGCCCAGCCACCUAGCCCCGUGCACCCUUCUCCCUUAGUCGUCGUGCUACCCCUACGCCAGCGACCCACACUCCCGCCUCGGCUCGUCGGCAUCAAUGAAAAUGACGUCACGGCAAAAAGCUCGCGUUUAAUUAUCAACGCUCUACGUUCUUCGCGGUAUACAGGUUGGCUAGUAGGAAGGGGGGCGUUUUCGUGCGAGGGUUUCUACGCCUCGGAGACGAUCGCGACUCCAGACGGGACGAGUAUCACAACCCCACGCACACCAUUCUCAACUGCUAACCCGUUUCUUUCCUUCGCGACGUUUCGAGCAGACGGAUAAACAGAGAACAACGGGGAAGAGGGUUGGAUGGACCUUUCUUUUCCGUCUACUCGGUGGAUCGAGGCCGCGGGGAAUCCCAACCGAGUCGUCUCGAUUUUCGGAAUCUUCUUUGCCUUUCAUCUCGGCACCGAGAGCAACGAUUCUGUAUCUGCGCGCCACCAUUAUUACCUUUACCGCUAUAAUCUCUG